rnacentral:rRNA from 1 species
CGGCGCGCCUAACACAUGCAAGUCGCACGAGAAAGGGCUUCGGCCCCGGUAGAGUGGCGCACGGGUGAGUAACACGUGGGUAAUCUGCCUUCGAGCGGGGGAUAACAUUCCGAAGGGAGUGCUAAUACCGCAUAAGACCACGACCUCGAAAGAGGUUGAGGUAAAAGCUGGCCUCUGUACACAAGCUAGCACUUGAAGAAGAGCCCGCGGCGCAUCAGCUAGUUGGUGGGGUAACGGCCCACCAAGGCUAAGACGCGUAGCUGGUCUGAGAGGAUGAUCAGCCACACUGGAACUGAGACACGGUCCAGACUCCUACGGGAGGCAGCAGUGGGGAAUCUUGCGCAAUGGGCGAAAGCCUGACGCAGCGACGCCGCGUGAGUGAUGAAGGCCUUCGGGUUGUUAAAAAGCUCUGUGGGGAGAGAAGAAUAAGUGCAAGCUAAUACCUUGCAUGAUGACGGUAUCUCCUUAGCAAGCACCGGCUAACUCUGUGCCAGCCGCAGC